CCUACGGGAGGCAGCAGUGGGGAAUCUUGCGCAAUGGGCGAAAGCCUGACGCAGCCAUGCCGCGUGAAUGAUGAAGGUCUUAGGAUUGUAAAAUUCUUUCACCGGGGACGAUAAUGACGGUACCCGGAGAAGAAGCCCCGGCUAACUUCGUGCCAGCAGCCGCGGUAAUACGAAGGGGGGCUAGCGUUGCUCGGAAUUACUGGGCGUAAAGGGAGCGUAGGCGGAUAGUUUAGUCAGAGGUGAAAGCCCAGGGCUCAACCUUGGAAUUGCCUUUGAUACUGGCUAUCUUGAGUAUGGGAGAGGUUAGCGGAACUCCGAGUGUAGAGGUGAAAUUCGUAGAUAUUCGGAAGAACACCAGUGGCGAAGGCGGCUAACUGGCCCAUUACUGACGCUGAGGCUCGAAAGCGUGGGGAGCAAACAGGAUUAGAUACCCUGGUAGUCCACGCCGUAAACGAUGAGUGCUAGUUGUCGGCAUGCAUGCAUGUCGUGACGCAGCUACGACAUAAGACACUCCGCCGUCGGGGAGGUGCGGUCGGCGAAGAAUUAAACGUACGAAAGAAGUAGUAGACGCGAGAGAGCGACGACGACGACGACGGAGGAGGAGG
rnacentral:rRNA from 1 species